UCGAGAAUCUUCCACAAUGGACGAAAGUCUGAUGGAGCGACGCCGCGUGAUUGAUGAAGUCCUUCGGGACGUAAAGAUCUUUUAUGGGGGAGGAAGUAAUUGACGUUACCCCAUGAAUAAGAGGCUCCUAACUCUGUGCCAGCAGGAGCGGUAAUACAGAGGCCUCAAGCGUUACCCGGAAUCACUGGGCGUAAAGGGUGUGUAGGCGGUCGUGUUAGUCCUUCGUAAAAGCUUUUGGGCUUAACCCAGAAACUGCGGGGGAGAGGGCACGACUUCGAGGAUGCGAGGGGUAUAUGGAACUCAUGGUGUAGGGGUGAAAUCCGUUGAUAUCAUGGGGAACACCAAAAGCGAAGGCAAUAUACUGGCGCACUCCUGACGCUGAAACACGAAAGCGUGGGAAUCGAACGGGAUUAGAUACCCCCGUAGUCC
rnacentral:rRNA from 1 species